rnacentral:rRNA from 1 species
CCUACGGGUGGCAGCAGUGGGGAAUAUUGCACAAUGGGGGAAACCCUGAUGCAGCGACGCCGCGUGAGUGAGGAAGUAUUUCGGUAUGUAAAGCUCUAUCAGCAGGGAAGAAAAUGACGGUACCUGACUAAGAAGCCCCGGCUAACUACGUGCCAGCAGCCGCGGUAAUACGGAGGGGGCCAGCGUUAUCCGGAUUUACUGGGUGUAAAGGGAGCGUAGACGGCUAGGUAAGUCAGAAGUGAAAGCCCAGGGCCCAACCUUGGGAAUGCUUUUGAAACUGAGUAGCUAGAGUGGAGGAGAGGUAAGCGGAAUGCCUGGUGUAGCGGUGAAAUGCGUAGAUAUUAGGAAGAACACCAGUGGCGAAGGCAGCUUACUGGACCGUAACUGACGUUGAGGCUCGAAAGCGUGGGGAGCAAACAGGAUUAGAUACCCCGGUAGUC